CUAUGCGCCUUGCCAGCCCGCUCAGGUGUGCCAGCAGCCGCGGUAAUACGUAGGGGGCAAGCGUUAUCCGGAUUUACUGGGUGUAAAGGGAGCGUAGACGGCAGUGCAAGUCUGGAGUGAAAGGCGGGGGCCCAACCCCUGGACUGCUCUGGAAACUGUCCGGCUGGAGUGCAGGAGAGGUAAGUGGAAUUCCUAGUGUAGCGGUGAAAUGCGUAGAUAUUAGGAGGAACACCAGUGGCGAAGGCGGCUUACUGGACUGUAACUGACGUUGAGGCUCGAAAGCGUGGGGAGCAAACAGG
rnacentral:rRNA from 1 species